AGAGUUUGAUCAUGGCUCAGGACGAACGCUGGCGGCGCGCCUAACACAUGCAAGUCGAACGGAGUUAAGAGGAGCUUGCUUUUCUUGACUUAGUGGCGAACGGGUGAGUAACGCGUGAGUAACCUGCCUCAGAGUGGGGGACAACAGUUGGAAACGACUGCUAAUACCGCAUAAGACCACGGGGUCGCAUGGCCCUGAGGUAAAAGGAUUUAUUCGCUUUGAGAUGGACUCGCGUCCAAUUAGCUAGUUGGUGAGGUAACGGCCCACCAAGGCGACGAUUGGUAGCCGGACUGAGAGGUUGAACGGCCACAUUGGGACUGAGACACGGCCCAGACUCCUACGGGAGGCAGCAGUGGGGGAUAUUGCACAAUGGGGGAAACCCUGAUGCAGCGACGCCGCGUGGAGGAAGAAGGUUUUCGGAUUGUAAACUCCUGUCGUAAGGGACGAUAAUGACGGUACCUUACAAGAAAGCCACGGCUAACUACGUGCCAGCAGCCGCGGUAAAACGUAGGUGGCAAGCGUUGUCCGGAAUUACUGGGUGUAAAGGGAGCGCAGGCGGACCGGCAAGUUGGAAGUGAAAACUAUGGGCUCAACCCAUAAACUGCUUUCAAAACUGCUGGCCUUGAGUAGUGCAGAGGUAGGCGGAAUUCCCGGUGUAGCGGUGGAAUGCGUAGAUAUCGGGAGGAACACCAGUGGCGAAGGCGGCCUACUGGGCACCAACUGACGCUGAGGCUCGAAAGUGUGGGUAGCAAACAGGAUUAGAUACCCUGGUAGUCCACACCGUAAACGAUGAUUACUAGGUGUUGGAGGAUUGACCCCUUCAGUGCCGCAGUUCACACACAUAAGUCAUCCACCUGGGGA
rnacentral:rRNA from 1 species